AUACGGAGGGUGCAAGCGUUACUCGGAAUCACUGGGCGUAAAGCGCGCGCAGGCGGGCUGAUAAGUUGGAUGUGAAAGCCUACGGCUCAACCGUAGAACUGCAUCCAAAACUGUCAGUCUAGAGUCUGGGAGGGGAAGAUGGAAUUAGUUGUGUAGGGGUAAAAUCCGUAGAGAUAACUAGGAAUACCAAAAGCGAAGGCGAUCUUCUGGAACAGUACUGACGCUGAGGCGCGAAAGCGUGGGGAGCAAACAGGAUUAGAAACCCCGGUAGUCC
rnacentral:rRNA from 1 species